GACGAACGCUGGCGGCGUGCUUAACACAUGCAAGUCGAGCGGUAAGGCCCUUUCGGGGGUACACGAGCGGCGAACGGGUGAGUAACACGUGGGUGACCUGCCCUCAGCUCUGGGAUAAGCCUGGGAAACCGGGUCUAAUACCGGAUAUGACUCCAUGACGCAUGUUGUGGGGUGGAAAGCCUUGUGCGGCUGAGGAUGGGCCCGCGGCCUAUCAGCUUGUUGGUGGGGNGAUGGCCUACCAAGGCGACGACGGGUAGCCGGCCUGAGAGGGCGACCGGCCACACUGGGACUGAGACACGGCCCAGACUCCUACGGGAGGCAGCAGUGGGGAAUCUUGCGCAAUGGGCGAAAGCCUGACGCAGCGACGCCGCAUGA
rnacentral:rRNA from 1 species